CUAAAAGGAAAGCUCCUUCCACUUCAAGGGGCCCUUGCCCUGAGCUCCCUCUUGAAAAGUCCCCUCAGGAAUGUGCUCAGGGUGAGCUGGAGCUGUGAGCAACCGUGACCCAGACCCACGCAACACCUUCUCAGCAGGAGAAUGAACCUGCCCUGCUGGGGGUCUCUCCUCUCACCCAGAGCUUCUCCCCACAGUGCCGUGGGGAGUUCCCUGGGCAGGCUGAGUGCUGACCCUUGCAGGCGGCAGAGUCACUGCCCCAGGCACACAGCACCCUGCGGCACAGGGAUACUGCUCUGAAUUACAGCUCUGCGCUGACCUGGGUGCAUUCCCUGGCUUCACAACCCCAGAAGUCACCCCUGGGAUAAGGUAGCAGCAUGCCCUGUCCCUGUGAUGGUGUAGCAGGAAUCCUGCUCUGAAGCAUCUUCUCCUCCUCAGCACAAGAGAAGUCAGGAGAGAGAUCCUUAAGAACACAGUCGUGGGAUGGGCUGGGUUCAGAAGACCCCUCCAGGAACCUCAGUAGCAUUGCCUUGCAGCCAGAGAAUUACUGUGUCAGGAGCUGUGAAGAUUUCUUCCACAAGGAGCUCUCUUCUCUCUUAAGAGGAAUGGUUAUAGUAGACUUGUUGAUUAAUAUAAACAGUUUGUUUAGUUGGCUACAGUUACCAAAUACAAACAAUGCCACAGCCUGUAAUGCUGCAAUGCAGGUCCUAAAAGCAUUUCAGCACUUCUAUUUGUACAUCUGUGCCUUUUCCUUAAGGAGAAAGCUAAAGCAUAAAUAGACUUGGUGCUGUUCUGUUCCUUCUUACUUUUAGGCAGGAAAUCUGUUCUGUUGUUUGGCAUUCCUGUAUUACAGCAUCUGGACCUUUAGGAGAAGCACCUGAGAGCUGUUAAAGUAUGGACAGUCAUGCUACGUGGUUGGAUGCUCAUCUGCCACAUAAGAGGAUUAUCUCCCUUCGGGUUAUGUGAUGGUUGCCUCUGUGGUCAUCUACCAGCAAUGUCUAGUCAGUGCCUGCAUCUACUGCUAGCACUUUCCCCCUGGGGGGGGGGGGGGGGGGAUGCAGUCACAGGGUCAUGGGUGGCUGGUGCCAUUGCAGGUGCCCUGGUCCCCUCUACCCAGCCUCCCUCUGCAGCUCCGAGGGGCUCCGGUCUCCCGCAGGUUCCCUGUGCGAGCUGCCAGGCCCAGGCAGGUGCCUCAGAGACACCGGGGCCUCUCCAAGUGCC
rnacentral:lncRNA from 1 species